rnacentral:rRNA from 1 species
AUGGGGUGCGAAAGGUGCGAGCGGAGGGAUGAACUCGACUACUGCAAUUUGGAUGACCGGGAGAAACACUUCCUGAUGUUCAUUGUCGAUGACUGUGGUCAGGAGAUGAUCGUCCCAGAUGAAUUUCUGAGACGUUUCAGGGGUGAGAUCCCAACGGAGAUCAAGCUAGAAACACGAAAUGGUCACAGUUACACCAUUGGAGUUGCCAAGUAUCCAGAUAAACUAGUUCUUCAAGCGGGAUGGGGAACAUUCGUCAAAACCUAUGAUCUACAUAUGGACGACUGUGUGGUAUUCAGAUACAAAGGAAACUCUCAGUUUGAUGUCAUAGUUUUUGAUCGAUUUGGUCGCGAGAAACCAUUCUCUGUUAUUAGAGACAAUGCUCCUCCUGUACAGGAAAGUCACAACAGCGGUACUGAAAAUUUGGACCGUUCUCAUGGUCAUUCUCAGCCCAUGGAAGUGCAAUCGCCUAUUGCAACUGCCAACCAUUCUGACAGGCGUCCUCAGCCCAUGCGAAUGCAACCACCUACUGAAAAUGCAAACCCUUCUCAUGCGCAUCCUCAGCCCAUGCGAAUGCAACCACCUACUGAAAAUUUGGAUGAUCCUGUUGGUUUUAGUCCGCCUACUGAAAAUGUGAACAAUUUGUUUGGCCAUAGUCAGCCUACGCAAAUGCAACCAUCUACUGAGGCUGUGGAUCAUUUUGUGCAAAUGCAACCAUCUACCGAGGCUGUGGAUCAUUCUAAUGGUCAUGCUCAGACCAUGCAAAUGCAACCAUCUAGCGAGGUCGUGGAUCAUUCUAAUGGUCAUGCUCAGACCAUGCAAAUGCAACUGUUUUGUAGACCUACCAAGCUGAGACAAACAAAGCUUCAAUGGGAUUACUCGAGUAUGGGCAACAAGACAGCGACGAGUCCUUCAGGUACUCCCAGAGAUUCUUUGUCCUCUGAACAUGACAUUGAAGGUUGUGCUUCACCUAGAUACACGCUCAUACAUAAUGCCAGUCUAAAUACAGUGCAGAAGGAGGAAGUUGAUGAGAAGGUCAAAUCUAUUCAUGAGGACAAUCCAAUCUUUGUGGCUGUGAUGAGGAGGUUCAAUGUUACAGGAACGUGCACUUUAACUUUCUCCAAGAAAUAUGUUCAGACGCAUGUGGGUGAUAAGGAGCGAAGGGUAUGUCUUCAGCGAUUUGGCAAGAGGUGGGAUGUGCAAUUCAGCAGUAGCCGUGAAGUCAAAAGGAUUGUUAGUGGCUGGCGGAAGUUUGUGAAAGACAAUGAUGUAGAGACCGGUGAUAUCUGCAUCUUUGAAUUGUUGAAGAUUGAUGAGAUGUGCACAAUGGAGGUCCAUAUCAUCCAUGCAAAGGAUUUUGGUAGACCCUCCCAAAUUGGUGGGCGGAGUGUCGAAGGACGGUGUAAAGAAGCUACUACUAAAACUGUGGAACCUUCUCAUUCUCGUCCUCAGCUCGUGCAAAUGCAAUUACGUAAUGCAAGUGUAGAGGAUUCUUAUUCUCGUCCUCAGCCCAUGGAAAUGCAAUCACCCUCAAAGGAAAGAAAGAUACGAGUUGAAACGGUUAACUCGAGUCCGGGCAACGAGGGAGAUUCUUCGAUGUCAGAGGAUAGUGUCACUUUGACUGGUUGCAUCGGUGUGCAUUUGAGGCGCAUACCUUUAAUUCAGAAGAAGGUAGUGAAGCAGAAGGUCGACCUUAUUGGUUCUGAAAUUCCCAUCUGUGUGCUCGUGAUGCAGAAGACCAAUGUUACAGGAAGAUUCUCUCUAAGCAUCUCCAAGAGAUAUGUCCGCAGAUAUCUGGGGGACGAGGUGCGAAGCAUCUGGCUGGAGCGAGACGGGGAGAGGUGCCAAGUGACGCUGGGACGCGGGCCUCAGAACAACAGGGUUGUGGGUGGAUGGGUAAAGUUCGCCAAGGAGAACGGGCUGCGGCCGGGCGAUGUCUGCCUCCUCGAGCGGCUGAGGCACUGCAAGGAGUGCACGAUGAAGGUCCACAUCGUCCGCCGCGUAAAGCGUGCCUGUUGA